rnacentral:rRNA from 1 species
UACAGAGGUCUCAAGCGUUGUUCGGAUUCAUUGGGCGUAAAGGGUGCGUAGGCGGCGCGGUAAGUCGGGUGUGAAAUCUCGGGGCUUAACUCCGAAACUGCAUUCGAUACUGCCGUGCUUGAGGACUGGAGAGGAGACUGGAAUUUACGGUGUAGCGGUGAAAUGCGUAGAUAUCGGGAGGAACACCAGUGGCGAAGGCGGCUUUCUGGCCUGUUCUUGACGCUGAGGCGCGAAAGCUAGGGUAGCAAACGGG